AAGCAUAUUAAUAAGCGGAGGAAAAGAAAUUAACUAAGAUUCCCCUAGUAAAGGCGAUUGAAGCGGGAUAAGCUCAGCAUGUGAAUUGACUUUGUCAAGUUGUGGUCUGCAGGCUUUUGCGUUACUGGCCGGGUGAAGUCUCUUGGAACAGAGCGGCAGAGAGGGUGACACCCCCGUGAACCUGGCCUCUAGAGCAAUUGCCAAAGAGUCGAGUUGUUUGGGAUUGCAGCUCUAAUUUGGUGGUAAAUUCCAUCUAAAGCUAAAUAAUGAUGGGAAACCGAUAGUGAACAAGUACCGUGAGGGAAAGAUGCAAAGAACUUUGGAAAGAGAGUUAAAGAGUACCUGAAAUUGCUGAAAGGGAAGCGAAGGAAAUCAGUGAUUGCCAAGUCAUAUUUUUCUAGCUGCUUGCGGCUAGGACGCUGUGGCGGCGAUGUCUCGGUUKGUUUGGUUCUGUUGAAAUUAGCGGUGGGCGUGCCCGCUGCCGUAUGGACGCGACCAGACUGACUCGAGUCGAAAUGGUUUUCUUCACCCCGUCUUGAA
rnacentral:rRNA from 1 species